CCUACGGGGGGCAGCAGUGGGGAAUCUUGGGCAAUGGGCGCAAGCCUGACCCCGCAACGCCGCGUGAAGGAAGAAGGCCCUCGGGUUGUAAACUUCUUUUAACAGGGACGAAGAAAGUGACGGUACAUGGUGAAUAAGCCACGGCUAACUACGUGCCAGCAGCCGCGGUAAUACGUAGGUGGCAAGCGUUAUACGGAUUUACUGGGAGUAAAGGGCGGGUAGGCGGGGGGGCAAGUCAGACGUGAAAUUCCAGGGCUCAACCCUGGAACGGCGUUUGAAACUGUUCUUCUUGAGUGAUGGAGAGGCAGGCGGAAUUCCGUGUGUAGCGGUGAAAUGCGUAGAUAUACGGAGGAACACCAGUGGCGAAGGCGGCCUGCUGGACAUUAACUGACGCUGAGGCGCGAAAGCGUGGGGAGCAAACAGGAUUAGAUACCCUUGUAGUC
rnacentral:rRNA from 1 species